UGUUUCCGUUCAAAUCUGCCUUUUAAAACCCACAGAUAAUGAACUAAAUGGCUUUCCAUACCAGCGAGGCUACGUAACUCAGCGUCAGCGUCGGUGACGCAGAGAAUGAGGAGAGAGUUUUCGUCCAGUUUUUGUCAAAUUUAGCCAUAAAAAGUAGAGAAGCGACGCAGCAAAGACAGAAAUCAGUCACGACGAUCCAAUAAAAUGAAUAAAUGAAGAACAUUAACUGUGAAAAAGUAUUAAUACUACCUUAUUGGAGGGGCGGGGCGGUAAUGGUAGAUGACCAUAUAAGGACUUCCUUUGGAUCAGCGCGGAGCUCUGGCAAACAUUGAUCCACAGAAGAGGCUUUCUCCAACAGAAAUGAUCCAUUUGAAGCCGAUGAUUCAGAGCUGCUCCUAGAAAGCAGAAACCUGCCUGCAGCAAGAAUAACAAGAGAUGCUGAUAAUAAGUCAAUAAUUCAGAUAUCAAAUGUAAACACUUUGUGUUUUUGUUUUUUAAUAAAUGUUUAGUUUGGAAUAAA